rnacentral:rRNA from 1 species
AGUCUUUUGUUUUUUUAUUAAAGAUGUUUUCUGCUCAGUGAUUUUAAAUAGCCGCGGUAUUUUGACCGUGCAAAGGUAGCAUAAUCAUUUGCUUUAUAAUUGAGGGCUAGAAUGAAUGGAAGUACAAAAUAGAGGCUUUAUUUAAUAAAAGAUUAUAAUUUGUUUUUUAAGUGAAGAAACUUAAGUGUUUUUAUGGGACAAGAAGACCCUUUUGAGCUUUAUUACUUUUAGUUUUUUUAUUUAAUUGUAAUUUGAUUGGGGCGAUCUAGGAAGUAGUUAUCUUCCUUUUAUUUAUAAUGAUCCAAUUUUUUUGAUUAAUAGAGUAAGUUACCGAAGGGAUAACAGCGUAAUUUUAUUUGAGAGUUCUUAUUAAAAAUAAAGAUUGCGACCUCGAUGUUGACUUAUAGUUUCCUUUUGGUGUAGUAGCUAAACGGGUUGGUCUGUUCGACCAUUAAAACAUU